UACGUAGGGGGCAAGCGUUGUCCGGAAUUCAUUGGGCGUAAAGGAGCGUGUAGGCGGCCCGAUUAAGUCCGCUGUGAAAGUCCAAGGGCUCCAACCCCUGGAAUGGCCGGUGGAUACUGUCGGGCUCGAGUUCGGAAGAGGUGAGUGGAAGUUCCUGGUGGUAGCGGGUGAAAUGACGCAGAUAUCAGGAGGAACACCAAUGGCGAAGGCAGCUCACUGGGACGAUACUGACGCUGAGGUUCGAAAGCUCGGG
rnacentral:rRNA from 1 species